rnacentral:rRNA from 1 species
UACGUAGGGGGCUAGCGUUGUUCGGAAUUACUGGGCGUAAAGAGCGCGUAGGCGGUGCGGUGUGUUUGGUGUGAAAUCUCCCGGCUCAACCGGGGAGGGGGCCAUCGAAAAACUGCCGUGCUGGAGUGCGGAAGAGGGCAGUGGAAUUCCCGGUGUAGCGGUGAAAUGCGCAGAUAUCAGGAGGAACACCGGUGGCGAAGGCGGUUCUCUGGGCAUUACCUGACGUGAGGAGCGAAAGUGUGGGGGAGCGAACAGG